rnacentral:rRNA from 1 species
AGUCAUAUUGGCUGUCUCAAAGAUUAAGCCAUGCAUGUGUAAGUAUAAGCAACUUUAUAGUGAAACUGCGAAUGGCUCAUUAAAUCAGUUAUCGUUUAUUUGAUGGUACCUUACUACUUGGAUAACCGUGGUAAUUCUAGAGCUAAUACAUGCUAAAAAUCUCGACUUAAGAAGAGAUGUAUUUAUUAGAUAUCAAACCAAUACCUCUUUAGAGGUCUAUGGUGAUUCAUAAUAACUUUUCGCAGCGCAUGGCAUUAUGCUAGCGCGAGAUCAUUCAAAUACCUGCCCUAUCAAGUUUAGAUGUGAGGGUAGUGUCCUCACAUGCUUUUGACGGGUAACGGGGAAUUAGGGUUCGACUCCGGAGAGGGAGCCUGAGAAACGGCUACCACAUCCAAGGAAGGCAGCAGGCGCGCAAAUUACCCAAUCCCAACAUGGGGAGGUAGUGACAAGAAAUACUGAUACAGGGUUCUUAAGGAUCUUGUGAUUGGAAUGAGUACAAUUUAAACCCAUUAACGAGGAACCACUAGAGGGCAAGUCUGGUGCCAGCAGCCGCGGUAAUUCCAGCUCUAGUAGCAUACAUUAAAAUUGUUGCAGUUAAAACGCCCGUAGUUGAAAUUUGGGCUUGGUCAACUGGUCCGCCUCACCGCGUGCACUAGUAUGAUUGGGUCUUUCUUUCCAAAUAUCUAUUGCUAAUUUAUUGGCUUUAGAUUUAUUUGGAACGUUUACUUUGAAAAAAUUAGAGUGUUCAAAGCAGGCUUUUGUUCGGAUACUUCAGCAUGGAAUAAUAAAAUAUGACGAGUGGUUGUAUUUUGUUGGUUUGUAUAACCGCCGUAAUGAUUGAUAGGGAUGGUCGGGGGCAUCGGUAUUCAUUCGUCAGAGGUGAAAUUCUUGGAUUGAAUGAAGACCAACUGCUGCGAAAGCAUUUGCCAUGGAUGUUUUCAUUAAUCAAGGACGAAAGUUAGGUGAGCGAAAACGAUCAGAUACCGUUGUAGUCUUAACUAUAAACUAUGCCGACUAGGGAUCAGGUAGUGUCUUCUUUAUAUGACCUACUUGGCACCUUGUGAGAAAUCAAAGUUUCUGGGUUCU